GCCUCGUCCAGCAUGGGCAUCAUGGGCGUGACGCCGAUACCGGCGGCGAGGAAGUGGUAUUCCGGCGAUUCCACCAGUUCGAAGUUGUUCCGGGGUCC
rnacentral:tRNA from 1 species